ACCUUGUACCUUUCUUUCAAUGAAAUCUUUUAAACUGGCACAAUCGUUCGUUUCAUGACCCGAAGCUUGAUGGUAAUCACAAUAUUUGCGAGGAUUUCCUUUUUCGGGCUUAAUGUUAUCUCGAGGUGGCUUGAAGAUAGGUUGAUUUUUGAUCUGAUCUAAGAUAACAGCCCUGUCUGCAUUGAGUGCCGUGUACGUCCUAUUUACUCUCUGGGCUGGAGCGGACGAACG
rnacentral:lncRNA from 1 species